CACAUAACUUAGCCUACAUGGAUCUGGUAAGAGCAAUGUGUUUCCUGUGGUUUAGUAGUGAUUCUACUAAUUCUACCUGAAUAAGAGACAGAGAAGCUCACUUUGUAACCAGUGUGUUUAAGAUCCUUUUACUUAGUUGUAUGAAAAGACUAAGAUGCGCUGUAGGAAAGCCUGCCAUCAGUGUCAUUCUGAAAAGAACCAGCCUAGAAGAUAGUGGGAUGAGUUGUUUCUCUCUGCC